rnacentral:misc_RNA from 1 species
GAUGAAGAACGUAGCAAAAUGCGAUAAGUAAUGUGAAUUGCAGAAUUCAGUGAAUCAUCGAAUCUUUGAACGCACAUUGCGCCCGCUGGUAUUCCGGCGGGCAUGCCUGUUCGAGCGUCAUUUCAACCCUCAAGCCCCCGGGUUUGGUGUUGGGGAUCGGCUCUGCCCUUCUGGGCGGUGCCGCCCCCGAAAUACAUUGGCGGUCUCGCUGCAGCCUCCAUUGCGUAGUAGCUAACACCUCGCAACUGGAACGCGGCGCGGCCAUUCCGUAAAACCCCAACUUCUGAAUGUUGACCUCGGAUCAGGUAGGAAUACCCGCUGAACUUAAGCAUAUCAAUAAGCGGAGGA